rnacentral:rRNA from 1 species
GAUGAACGCUGGCGGCGUGCCUAAUACAUGCAAGUCGAGCGAACAGACGAGGAGCUUGCUCCUCUUACGUUAGCGGCGGACGGGUGAGUAACACGUGGAUAACCUACCUAUAAGACUGGGAUAACUUCGGGAAACCGGAGCUAAUACCGGAUAAUAUAUUGAACCGCAUGGUUCAAUAGUGAAAGACGGUUUUGCUGUCACUUAUAGAUGGAUCCGCGCCGCAUUAGCUAGUUGGUAAGGUAACGGCUUACCAAGGCAACGAUGCGUAGCCGACCUGAGAGGGUGAUCGGCCACACGGGAACUGAGACACGGUCAAGACUCCUACGGGAGGCAGAAGUAGGGAAUCUUCCGCAAUGGGCGAAAGCUUGACGGAGCAACGCCGCGUGAGUGAUGAAGGUCUUCGGAUCGUAAAACUCUGUUAUUAGGGAAGAACAAAUGUGUAAGUAACUAUGCACGUCUUGACGGUACCUAAUCAGAAAGCCACGGCUAACUACGUG